AACAUCAGUGCUGCAGUGGGUAGCACUUCUGCCUCUAAGAUAGUAGGUCGCUGGUUCAAUGCCAGCCAGUGUUC